rnacentral:rRNA from 1 species
UGGGGAAUAUUGCGCAAUGGGCGAAAGCCUGACGCAGCGACGCCGCGUGAGGGAUGAAGGUUUUCGGAUCGUAAACCUCUGUCAGAAGGGAAGAAACCGCACUGUGCUAAUCAGCAGUGCCUUGACGGUACCUUCAAAGGAAGCACCGGCUAACUCCGUGCCAGCAGCCGCGGUAAUACGGAGGGUGCAAGCGUUAAUCGGAAUUACUGGGCGUAAAGCGCACGUAGGCUGCUUUGUAAGUCAGGGGUGAAAUCCCACGGCUCAACCGUGGAACUGCCUUUGAAACUGCUUAGCUUGAAUCCGGGAGAGGGUGGCGGAAUUCCAGGUGUAGGAGUGAAAUCCGUAGAUAUCUGGAGGAACAUCAGUGGCGAAGGCGGCCACCUGGACCGGUAUUGACGCUGAGGUGCGAAAGCGUGGGGAGCAAACAGG